rnacentral:rRNA from 1 species
GACGAACGCUGGCGGCGUGCUUAACACAUGCAAGUCGAACGGAAAGGUCCUGCUUUUGUGGGGUGCUCGAUUGGCGAACGGGUGAGUAACACGUGAGUAACCUGCCCUUGUCUUUGGGAUAACAUCAGGAAACUGGGGCUAAUACCGGAUAGGAGCUCCUGCUGCAUGGUGGGGGUUGGAAAGUUUCGGCGGUGGUGGCUGGUCUAGAGGGUUAUCAGCCUGUUGGUGGGGUAGUGGUAUACCAAGGGUUUGACGGAUAGCCGGCCUGGGAGGGGGACCAGGCACAUUGCUACUACGGUAGGGCCCAGAAUGGAACGGUCGGCAGUGGGGGGGAAUAUGGCAGAACGGGGCGGAGCCUGAUGCGAAGGUCCUGGGUUCGGGAUGACGGCCUUCGGGUUAUAAACCGAUGUGGCCUGUGACGAAGCGUGCGUGACGGUAACGGGUAAAGAAGCACCGGCUAACUACGUG